UUGUUAACGCCACCCUUAAUUUUUCUGGUUGCAGGGGUGGAGAUCAUGUGCAGUGACCACGCUGGGUAGAGAUGGUAGUGAUUUGACAGCUACAACCAUUGAAAUCAUCACUAAUAUUAGAGAAGGUGUUGUACUGUGUUGGGCCAAGUACUUAGAAAGCAUUCCCUAUUUUCUUUUGUUCUCUGGUUGAUGACAAGUGUUGUUCAAUUGAUCAAACAGGGUUAUCAGCUAUAUAUGUAUUUGAAUCUGGUAUUCAUGUUUUGGUGCAUUUUAUAUAAAAUUUAUUAUUUGGCUU